rnacentral:sRNA from 1 species
CUUCCAUCAAGCCGGGGUUUCCAGUUCCCGCUAGGAAGCGUUGGGGACGUCCGGGCACUGCGCACCUCGCCAGGGCCGGUUACCAAGCGCCUCCUCCCCCGUCUGUGGGACAACGCUCUGACCUCCGUGUGGAUGGCCGUGGCUGUGAGGACUACCGAUGUGUCGAAGUGGAAACUGAUGUGGUGUCCAACACUAGUGGGUCCGCCAGGGUCAAGCUGG